CCUACGGGCGGCAGCAGUGGGGAAUAUUGGACAAUGGGGGGAACCCUGAUCCAGCCAUGCCGCGUGUGUGAAGAAGGCCCUCGGGUUGUAAAGCACUUUCAGUGAGGAAGAACGCCUGGUGGUUAAUACCCAUCAGGAAAGACAUCACUCACAGAAGAAGCACCGGCUAACUCCGUGCCAGCAGCCGCGGUAAUACGGAGGGUGCGAGCGUUAAUCGGAAUUACUGGGCGUAAAGCGCGCGUAGGUGGCUUGAUAAGCCGGUUGUGAAAGCCCCGGGCUCAACCUGGGAACGGCAUCCGGAACUGUCAAGCUAGAGUGCAGGAGAGGAAGGUAGAAUUCCCGGUGUAGCGGUGAAAUGCAUAGAGAUCGGGAGGAAUACCAGUGGCGAAGGCGGCCUUCUGGACUGACACUGACACUGAGGUGCGAAAGCGUGGGUAGCAAACAGGAUUAGAUACCCCAGUAGUC
rnacentral:rRNA from 1 species